CCUACGGGUGGCAGCAGUGAGGAAUAUUGGUCAAUGGGCGCAAGGCUGAACCAGCCAAGUCGCGUGAAGGAAGAAGGAUCUAUGGGUUGUAAACUUCUUUUAUAGGGGAAUAAAGGGAAGCACGUGUGGAUAUUUGCAUGUACCCUAUGAAUAAGGAUCGGCUAACUCCGUGCCAGCAGCCGCGGUAAUACGGAGGAUCCGAGCGUUAUCCGGAUUUAUUGGGUUUAAAGGGUGCGUAGGUUGUUUUUUAAGUCAGCGGUGAAAGUUUGUGGCUCAACCAUAAAAUUGCCGUUGAAACUGGCAGACUUGCGUGUGUUUGAGGUAGGCGGCAUUCGUGGUGUAGCGGUGAAAUGCUUAGAUAUCACGCAGAACUCCGAUUGCGAAGGCAGCUUACUAAGCCAUAACUGACACUGAAGCUCGAAAGCGUGGGUAUCAAACAGGAUUAGAUACCCUUGUAGUC
rnacentral:rRNA from 1 species